UCGGGAAUUUUGGGCAAUGGGGGAAACCCUGACCCAGCAACGCCGCGUGAAGGAUGAAGUAUUUCGGUAUGUAAACUUCGAAAGAAUAGGAAGAAUAAAUGACGGUACUAUUUAUAAGGUCCGGCUAACUACGUGCCAGCAGCCGCGGUAAUACGUAGGGACCAAGCGUUGUUCGGAUUUACUGGGCGUAAAGGGCGCGUAGGCGGCAUGACAAGUCACUUGUGAAAUCUCUGGGCUUAACCCAGAACGGCCAAGUGAUACUGUCGCGCUAGAGUGCAGAAGGGGCAAUCGGAAUUCUUGGUGUAGCGGUGAAAUGCGUAGAUAUCAAGAGGAACACCUGAGGCGAAGGCGGGUUGCUGGGCUGAUACUGACGCUGAGGCGCGAAAGCUAGGGUAGCAAACGGGAUUAGAUACCCAAGUAGUCCCUGAGCGGGCUGGCAAGGCGCAU
rnacentral:rRNA from 1 species